rnacentral:rRNA from 1 species
AUUGAACGCUGGCGGCAGGCCUAACACAUGCAAGUCGGACGGUAGCACAGGGGAGCUUGCUCCUCGGGUGACGAGUGGCGGACGGGUGAGUAAUGUCUGGGGAUCUGCCCGAUAGAGGGGGAUAACCACUGGAAACGGUGGCUAAUACCGCAUAAUGUCGCAAGACCAAAGAGGGGGACCUUCGGGCCUCUCACUAUCGGAUGAACCCAGAUGGGAUUAGCUAGUAGGCGGGGUAACGGCCCACCUAGGCGACGAUCCCUAGCUGGUCUGAGAGGAUGACCAGCCACACUGGAACUGAGACACGGUCCAGACUCCUACGGGAGGCAGCAGUGGGGAAUAUUGCACAAUGGGCGCAAGCCUAAUGCAGCCAUGCCGCGUGUAUAAAGAAGGCCUUCGGGUUGUAAAGUACUUUCAGCGGGGAGGAAGGCGAUGUGGUUAAUAACCGCGUCGAUUGACGUUACCCGCAGAAGAAGCACCGGCUAACUCCGUGCCAGCAGCCGCCGUAA